rnacentral:lncRNA from 1 species
CAAUCAAUUUAUAUUCGUUAUGUAUUUAUUUACCAAUAUAUUUGCAAACGCUAUCCAAAACUUGACAAAGAAAAGCCGAAUGCUUUAGUUUCCGGACUUGGUACCACAAUCCCAAAGAUUGUCUUAAAAGGAUUGCAUAUGUACCUAAGUAGUCUAAUCCUCACAAUCUUCCUAUUGAUAAUGUACCAUUGGAAGAAAAUGUUAGAUAAGUCUAUCAUAAGGAGGACAACACUUUUAAUGUCAUAAUUCUUCAAUUACAAAUUGUUGUAUGAAGAAAUAAGAGUUGCUUUGAACAACCCUUAACUAACGCAAACAUUAGUGCUUGUUUCUUUGUUACAU